GAUGAACGCUGGCGGCGUGCCUCAAACAUGCAAGUCGAGCGAGGCUAUGAAUUACUGCAAGGUAAGGCAUAGCCUAGCGGCGAACGGGUGAGUAACACGUGGGUAACCUACCUGGAAGACAGGGAUAACGAUUCGAAAGGGUCGCUAAUACCUGAUAAUAUCCAUCUGCCGGAUGGCGGAGGGAAGAAAGGGGAAACCCGCUUUCAGAUGGGCCCGCGUCCCAUCAGCUAGUUGGUAAGGUAAAGGCUUACCAAGGCGACGACGGGUAGCCGGUCUGAGAGGAUGUACGGCCACACUGGGACUGAGAUACGGCCCAGACUCCUACGGGAGGCAGCAGUUGGGAAUCUUAGGCAAUGGACGAAAGUCUGACCUAGCGACGCCGCGUGAGGGAAGAAGGCCUUCGGGUUGUAAACCUCUGUCAUGGGGGAAGAAGGAAGUGACGGUACCCCAAGAGGAAGCCCCUGCUAACUACGUG
rnacentral:rRNA from 1 species